UUUUAUUCGUCUUUGGAUUUUUUCAACCACGAAAAACGAACCCUAACCCUAAUUGCUCUCAAUCUUUCUCCCCAGUCUUCUUAGCUUUUCUUCUCAACCGCGAGCAUGUCUCACUUCGGAAGGUCAGGCCCUCCCGACAUCACCGACACCUACUCUCUUCUCGUCCUCAACAUCACCUUCCGCACGACCGCUGAUGAUUUGUUUCCGCUCUUCGACAAGUACGGGAAGGUCGUCGACAUCUUUAUUCCUAAAGAUCGAAGGACUGGGGAUUCUCGAGGUUUUGCAUUUGUGCGCUACAAGUAUGCAGAUGAGGCGCAGAAAGCUGUCGAGAGGCUCGAUGGGAGAGUUGUUGAUGGUCGCGAGAUAACAGUUCAGUUUGCAAAAUAUGGGCCCAAUGCAGAGAGGAUAAGGAAAACAUCUGCUUGUUUGGCUUCAACACGUCACAAAGGAAGGAUUAUUGAAUCAUUUCCAAGGUCAAGAUACAGGUCAAGAAGUCGCAGCCCUCGCAAAAGGCAUCGGGAUGACAAUUACAAGGAUAGGGAUUAUAGAAGAAGAAGUCGUAGUAGAAGUUAUGACAGGCAUGAACGUGAUCGAUAUCGUGGGAAAGACAAAGACUAUCGACGCCGAAGCCGGAGCCGUAGUGCUAGUCCUGACUAUUCAAAAGGCCGAGGAAGAGGUCGCUAUGAUGAUGAUCGGCGUAGUAGUAGUCGAUCAAUGAGUGCUUCUCCUGCUCGCCGCAGCGUUAGUCCUAGAAAGAGUCCUUCCCCACGCAAGGCAUCUCCACCUAGGGGUGGAAGUCCUGAUAGACACAGCCGUGAUGGGCGGACUCCAAGUCCUCGAAGUGUUUCACCACGAGGCCGUCCUGCUGAAUCUCGAAGCCCAUCUCCGCGAAACUCAGAUGUUGAUGAAUGAUCUUGCGGAUUGCAUGGAAAUUCUUGGAGACUUUAAGUAGCAUGUUCCUUGUUGCUAUGUUGCUAGUGUUGAGGACAUUCACAAUAUGAUGCAUUUUCUAGUAUCGCAAUGUUCGGGGAGAGAGUGCCUUUGGCAAAUGGACAUGAUGUUACAUGAUGUUGAUGUUGUGGCUGUUGAUGCUGUUUGUAUCUGUAGAUGAAUGAUCGUGAUUGUGAUGCUGGUUAUAGCAGUAUGCUGAUUGCAGGGACAGUUUCUUAACUAUUUUUAACUGAAAGAUAUGAUGAUUGGACCCAAGAUGAAACUUUUUGACCUGUGGAAUGCUGCAUAUGAUGGACCUGUGAUGCAUUGACCUGAUGCGGAUACUAAAUUUAAAAAUGUAAUGUCUGGUCUGAACCUUGUGACUAUGUUAAUUGAACAGAAUAACUUGUUUCUGUUUAAUCAUUUGAUUGGGGUAUUUCAUUAAUCACGUUUAACCACACCCUGUUGCUUAAUGUUUUGAGUUGUAGCAAAAUUGCCCGUGACUGUAGCUGUGAAGUGUUGGUUGAUGCCAAUUGUAAGGUACACGUGGCUCGUGGGUAACCAUUGAGUACCAAUGAAUAACCUGUAGCAGGCUGUUGCUGCCUUUCUUGUUGGGUCACGUUGAUAAUGGUUCCAGCAGUUGCCUAGCUUUCUUGCUGGUCUGCUAUGUGGCUGUUGCUGCCCUUCCUGCAGGGUCGUGUCAGUUUUGGUACUAGCAGGGUUGGUAUGCAUAUGAUAUGCCGGUGCUGGUCACACGUUAGGGUUACAUUCUUUCAUCUGUGUUUUUCUUUUAUCUGUUAUAAAAGAAAGAUCUUUUGGGACUAUUAAAUUGAUGACAUUGUGAUCUAGAACAGAUCACUGUUCAUUCAUUCUUAGACCCUAUUUUGUUAACGGGGGCUCCCCUGCAUAUUACUCAUGCUCUGAGCAUGCUGAGGUGCUUUGAAAGCAUUGAAAAAUUUAGGAAUGCACUCAACAGUGGUUAAAAAUUUUGAAAGGAAAUGAGUAAAGAGAAGACUGCAAUUGCAGUUUGAGCUGAAA